rfam:Cavia porcellus supercont2_2 genomic scaffold, whole genome shotgun sequence.
GGGGAUUUAGCUCAGUGGCAUAAGUGCCUGCCUUGCAAACAGGCAGUCGUGAGUUCAAUCCCCG